rnacentral:tRNA from 1 species
GCGUGGCCGAAUGGUUACGCUGUCCGCCUUGUAAGCGGAUGAUUCUGGGUUCGAUUCCCAUCUGCUGCA